rnacentral:rRNA from 1 species
UACGGAGGAUCCAAGCGUUAUCCGGAUUAUUGGGUUUAAAGGGUGCGUAGGCGGCCUGUUAAGUCAGGGGUGAAAGACGGUAGCUUAACUAUCGCAGUGCCUUUGAUACUGACGGGCUUGAAUGCAGCUGAGGUAGGCGGAAUGUGACAAGUAGCGGUGAAAUGCAUAGAUAUGUCACAGAACACCGAUUGCGAAGGCAGCUUACUAAAGUGUGAUUGACGCUGAUGCACGAAAGCGUGGGGAUCAAACAGG